UAUAUCAGUCAAGCACUAUUGAAUUAUGCAUGGAGAAAUAGAUCCUGAAUUUAUUUAAACUCACAGGGAGAACUUCGAAAAGGAACCGCGCUUUGUGGAGCUCAGAAAUCAGGUAAUAUUUAUCUUGCUUUCUUUAGGUGGUGUCGAAAUUAUUGUAUUGAUUGUGAAACAUUUUUUCCUGUUUGUAUGGUACAUGGUGCAAAAUUAUGAGAACAACAGAGAUGGCUGCUGUAGAGGAGAAGCUACAUGAGCUUGAGAGACAAAAGGAAGAAAUGUUGAGGUUUGGUUCCCCUGCUUCCCUUCUCCAAAGGCUUCAAGAUGCAAUGAACAUGACAGAUGAAGAAUCUGAAAAUCUGCGGAAGCAGCUUUUUGUGCAUAUAUAUAAGAAGCUUCGCACCAUUUAAGCAAGCACUCAUUCAUCAUGCAGCUAAAACAAAUUCACUCAGUUGAAUUGAUAUUAUAGAAAGAUAUAUACUUGGAACACAUUGAAAUCUUACUUCUAGUUUCAAUGCAUUGGCUAGAUAAACAUGAUUGUCUGUGUAUUAUUUGGUUAAAUAUUUUCUCUUUGCUAGUAUAUCAGUUUUGACAGCAUUUGUUCAUGUACGUUCAACAUUCAUCGUGGUAUGGUAUUAUAUAGUUACAAUUUUAUCA